rnacentral:lncRNA from 1 species
UUUCUACACUCACUUCUCUCUCUAAAUUCUCUCUACUCUCUCUCUAGAUGAAGAUCCGACAACCUCCGACGGAGGUCCGGCGGCGAACUUUCCGGCGACUGUUUUCCGACCAAAGGUACAUAAGUGGCUUCGGAGAGAUGUGGGGUUAGGACAACUUUUAAAAAUGGACAAUAAUAAAGUUUGUGUCAUGGUACACGAGAUGGAACUUUUUGAACAUAAACACUUUAAACUAUACAAGUUGGGAUGAUUUGUAACAACUUUAAACUAUUUUGUCUAUUUUUAUAAUUAUCUAUGUAUGACCUAUAAUUGUUGGUUGCCAACCUCUGUCACUACCAUGCUUGUCUUCCGCUGCGGUUUUUGGGAUGAGGCUGAUUUUGUGAAGAAAAUAUAGUCUUCGUACAUAACCUUAAACCUGACACCACUCUCCUCUGUAUAACAUCACAAUAAAAGAUUUAUCCUUUUUAAACGCGAAACCCCUCAAAAUGGAUACAGGAGCUUGAUUUGAAGGGGACUUAUAGAAAUUGGUGAUAUUUUCCCAGUGUGUUACGAUGCUUUAUAGAAUCGAAAUGCGAAAAAAACAUCAUGAAUGUUUGGCUUUGUCUCCGCAAUCACUGAUAAAUGUACAUUGUCGCAGUUUAAGAACUCUUGGACGCCAUCUAAAGGCGCCUAAAGGACUCUACAAAAUAACAAAACAACAAGUCCUGUUGGAUAAUCUUGAUGUUUCGGGCCGAGUAUGUACAAAGUUGGUUACGGGAUAGAGAUAGAACGGGUUACAAGAAAAAGUCUAAAGUUGACCGAGUUUUAUGUAUGUGAACGAUAGAAUUAGGUAGCGAACAGGAAGGCGAUCGUGGUGUUAUGGAAGUGAAUAAUUGUAAUUUAUUCAAAAUGAGGCUGAUUUUGUGAAGAAAAUAUUGUCUUCGUACAUAACCUUAACCCUGGCACCACUCUCCUCUCUAUAUAGCAUCACAGUAA